CCUACGGGUGGCAGCAGUAGGGAAUCUUCGGCAAUGGGGGGAACCCUGACCGAGCAACGCCGCGUGAGUGAAGAAGGUUUUCGGAUCGUAAAGCUCUGUUGUAAGAGAAGAACGAGUGUGAGAGUGGAAAGUUCACACUGUGACGGUAUCUUACCAGAAAGGGACGGCUAACUACGUGCCAGCAGCCGCGGUAAUACGUAGGUCCCGAGCGUUGUCCGGAUUUAUUGGGCGUAAAGCGAGCGCAGGCGGUUAGAUAAGUCUGAAGUUAAAGGCUGUGGCUUAACCAUAGUACGCUUUGGAAACUGUUUAACUUGAGUGCAAGAGGGGAGAGUGGAAUUCCAUGUGUAGCGGUGAAAUGCGUAGAUAUAUGGAGGAACACCGGUGGCGAAAGCGGCUCUCUGGCUUGUAACUGACGCUGAGGCUCGAAAGCGUGGGGAGCAAACAGGAUUAGAUACCCUGGUAGUC
rnacentral:rRNA from 1 species